AAAAAAAAAAAAGCGCUGCCGCAACCCUGCACGUCUGCCUUUCAAUUUUUUUUGUACCUACUUUUGUUUUCUUCGUCUUUUUUCUUGCUUCU
rnacentral:ribozyme from 11 species